AUGGCAUUCAGGUUCAGGGUCGCCUCCUCCUCACUCUGUCCACCAGAGAGGAAGACAAUGGCGGGGACGGCAGCAGGGACAGUCCUCUGGAGGGCGCGGACGGUGUACUCAGCAAUGACCUCAGGGGCCACCUUUUUGGCGUCGGAUCCAGGGGUGGGCUUCAGGAGGGUGCCCUCGAGGAGGACAUGCUGGUCGUUGAGGGCCUUGUAG
rnacentral:rRNA from 1 species